CAGUAGCCGCGGGAAUACAGAGGGUGCGAGCGUUAAUCGGAUUUACUGGGCGUAAAGCGUGCGUAGGCGGCUAAUUGAGUCGGAUGUGAAAUCCCCGAGCUUAACUUGGGAAUUGCAUUCGAUACUGGUUAGCUAGAGUGUGGGAGAGGAUGGUAGAAUUCCAGGUGUAGCGGUGAAAUGCGUAGAGAUCUGGAGGAAUAACGAUGGCGAAGGCAGCCAUCUGGCCUAACACUGACGCUGAGGUACGAAAGCAUGGGGAGCAAACAGGAUUAGAGACCCCCGUAGUCCCUGUCUCUUAUAC
rnacentral:rRNA from 1 species